GCCUGCUGAUCUUCCAUUCGUAACAGCACUAAUAGCAGUGUGCCACCCCACAUCUUCACUGCAAACCCCACACAGACUUCCCAUAUCCAUUUCACUUACAGAAGGCAAUAAUUACAUGUUUUACACGGAAAGACACCUGCGGUAUUGUUCAGCUCGCAGGUUCUAUGCCACUCUCACAGCCUGAGAGGUACACAAAUAGCCUCUUUAAUAAGCCCCACGUUCUGUUGGGGCGGGCAGUUGCUAUGGUGAGAAUUCACGGUGUGGUCAAAGCACGUGGGCAACUCAGCUCACCAGCCUGCAUGUACCCAGGGUAUAAACAGAUGAAUUGUGACUGUGGACUCUGAUCCAGCACAAUGGAUGGCGUGGCCCUGGCCCUGAGUCAUUUCUUUCAAAUGAAUUGAGCUGUCUUCUGCAAGCAAGAACAUCUGCUGAGCUCCUGAGCACCUCCUAACAGACAGCACUGGGAAGCAUCAGCUGAAAGAAAGGCCAAAGACCAAGAUCCAGGAUAAUCGUUGGAGGGAUGCUGAAGAGGACAGUGGAUCACCUGAUGAAAUAACACACAUCGGAUAAGGAAUUCGGUAGAAGAGAUUAAAAUCUCGAUACAUAAUCAAAAUGAGAAUUGAAUUUGACUGUAACCAAAGAGAAUGAACCACUUAUAACAUGCAAGAGGAAUGCAGCUUGGGUGAGAACGGCCAUGAAACAACAGAGUUCACGAGUUGUCAGAAAGGAAGGAAGGAGAACAGCAAAAUAAACACAAUGGACUUCCAGAAAGCAUAUUUCAAAAACCUCAUAGAACUGAUAAUCAUGAGAAACAAGUCUCAGAGAAAAGGGAACUCGGGAAAGUUGGCAGCAGCUUAAAGAAACAAUGGUGGUAAGGACAUCAAUUCAAACAAUCCCAGCAGAGGAGGGAAAGCAACUGUCACAAGAUGAUGUGCUUAAAUCAUCACCACUUCACUGAUCACUAACACAUGAAAUAAUGUCUUCGGAAAAUAGAAACUAGAUUCACAUGCCAAUGAAUUGUAAUGCACGACCUGAAGGUGUGGGGACCAAAUCAGGAAAGUCAAGAGAGAAACAGAGAAUCAACCAGCAAGAUCAAUGGACAUCAAGAAAACUUCAAACACAUUAGCAUGAAGACAUGAAGGUCGUGGGAAGAACUACCCAAAAGGGAAGGAGAGGUGGUAAUGAAUGAUGUAAAGACAGUGGAAGUAUUUACCUGCUUCAGAUUUCAGUACAAAGAUCCCUUGUGCCAAAAUGGUUACCACAAUUAGUGCUGAAUGAUAACAGGGAAAGAACUCAGUCUAGAAAGAAGUGAAGAGUAUUUAUUCGGAUUAAAUAUUAUACUCUUGUACUGCCUGUUGAAAUAAUCUCAUGAUGGUUAGCAGCUCUAUGAUACCUCAGAGAACCACCACAGUAACAGAAGACCAGAAAAGGGAGAUGCAAACCUUUUUAAAAAGGAAGAAGCUGAAGAAUGAUGCACAAGACAGCUUGGUUUGAAAUCCCAGAGAAAACUGGUAAAAUAAAUAUUUUAUAAAUGUCUGGAAAAUAACAAGGAGGUGUGUAACAGCAAAGAUUUGUGAACUCAACAGCAUUUUUUUUUCCCACUGGGGCAGCAGGGUAUGCAAGAACUUGCAGAUGCAAUAAACCCAUCUUUUAUUGGAUCAUUCUAUGAUUCUAUGACUUUGACACUCACAUUUUAUUAUCAUAACUAGAAGAUAUAAUCUGAAGAUCCAAGAGUAAAAACCUCUUUAGAGGAUGGCAAACCAAACUGAGAUCAACAGUACUGGACUUCAAUCAACAAAACUGGACUUCAGCAGUAUUGGGACUAGAUGAACUUUUAAGGUCCCUCCCAACUCAAAUGAUUCUAUGAUCCUACAAUAAUAUCAUGCCAAAACAAACAAACAAACAAACAAACCCAAGUUCCUCCCUUCCUCUAAAAAAAUACACUGAAGCAAGCAUUGUGCUCGCUCACAUUGCCAGGAGUAAUUCCUGCCUGCUCUGUGACAUAUUUCUUUCACCUCAUUCAGCACUACUGAGGUCUUACUGGAACUCUGCACAUUCGAUUUAAGCAAAUUGAGGAACAGUUGUGAAGAGACCAAAGCAGGGCCAUAGGAACAAUCAAGGGUGUAGAAAAUAUGAUCUACCAUCAUAAGACCAAAAAAAUAAUCUUUUUCAGUGCAAACAUGAGGCAUCAGGAGAAGGCAUAGUAGUGGUCUUCAACUACAUAAGGAGCAGUGGUAGAUAGGAAGGGAACAUGAUGUGCUCUGCAUCCAUUGCAAAUAGGUCAAGAAGUGGGAUCAAAGAGCAGCAGCACAUACAGCACCAUGCAUUUCCUGAUGGUUAACUGCUAGAACAAGUGAUGUCAGCUGAGAAUUUCUGUCUGGGGAUGCUUUUAAGAAAAGGUCGGAUACCCAUCUGUUAUGCAAGAAGCAGGCACUGUUUGUUCUGCUCUGUGGAAUGGGAUAAACUAGAUAAUCUCUGGAUAUCCCUUCUGACCUUAUUUUCUGUGAUUCACACACCAGGAAAGCCAUAGGUAGAGAUUUCUGGCUUUUUUUGAGGAUGACUGCAAUGAACUUUGAGAGUGAAGGCCAGCUGUGAGUACUGCACGGCCCAGUCCAUCUGAGAAGUCUCAAACUGAACUGUUUUCCUGAGAAUCCACAAAGACAAGGACUAGAAGAGCAGGAGCACACUGAGCCUCAGAAGUCAGAUCAGCUGAGCUGGCUUUCUGCUCUUUUUCCCCAGCGACCUGUUAACAGCUCACGCCCACCCACAUCUUAAAAUCUUUGAGCAGGGCUCUGAAAUGUGGGAGGUGAUCAGCUGGGAGUAACUCAGCAAGUUUGUGCCUUUGCUACAUUUCUCCUAUUUCAUUAAUGUUGUUGGCCUUCAGAACCAAUCUCUACAGACUGAAACCAACCAGCUUCAGGGGCCAGAUAACACAUAUGCUUCUGCUGGCAGAAGAUCAGGCACCAGAGCAGAAAGCUGGCCAGGCAGCAAGGCUGAGAUGUUGGGAAGCCACCUUCCUUCUGCUCCAGAGCCCUCAGAAACCAGUGCCAGCCCAGAGCUGGAGAUACGAAAGGGUGCUGCCAAGACCUCAGUUCCUUUCUGGCACAACUUCCGUCAGGCAUAGCUUUGCUUGCGAAGCUGGAGCCUGGAAGGCAGACAGAUGCAAGCACACCUUGUGCCUUCUCCAGCUCGUCUUCUCUUGGACUGUGCAAGCAGCUCAACCUAAGGAUACUUGCAGGUCUCCAUUGGAAGGUGACUUAUGACAAUGCCCUUGCAGUUCAAGCCUGCUUGCUUCCAUGAAGAGCAUGCAUAUGCGUGUACACACAGGUUAAACACAAUACAUAAACCACCCAAAUCCAGCAGAACUCUCUUCAGUCAAAGGAGAAGACACAUCUUUGCCCUGCCAAGUCCACAGCAAAGCUCAAAAUACCUCACUCCAGCCAAGUUCCGCAAAAAGAGAGAGAAAUCUUCCUUUGGUUACCCUCUACCUUCCUUCCUCAGAAGUUCUCUUCAUUUGUACCAUUAGCCCCAGCCCUCCACAUAAAGGAGGAAAGAGAGAAAUUAAUUCUUCACAGCUGGUUCUGUCCUGCAAUGCUUUGCUCUUAGGACAGGCAGCUGUAGCCUCUCCGGCCAGAAAGGGAGGGUUAACUCCUACCCUGCCAAGUUUCUGAUGGAGAAAAUCCAAAAUUAUCUUCUUGCCUUUACGUUUCCCAAGCGGAUGCAUUCUGGCCUGGAUAAAUGAGGUGUAUGUCCACAUCCACACACAUGCUGACAGACUACCUCCCUGUACCUCUGAAGUCUCAAAGGCGAGUGGAGAAACCCUGCCCCUUCCUACCUCCUACUAUCCUCCGGGGAGAUUUUAUGCAAAUUAUUUAAUGAGCAUACUUGCAAAGGAUUUGCAUACAGGCAUAAACUUAACAGAGCACAAAAGCCAAAAUCCUGGCCCAGAGAGCUGGGAUGAGGAGGUAUGGGGUGCAGGAAUCCCACCCUGCCUGGGGCCAUGGUGAGCAGGUCCUCCCCGGCCGUUGGGACCAAUGUUCUCCAGCCAUGUCCCUGGUGCAGAACUGCAGGCUCAAGCUUGAAGUCAGGCAUGAGUUUCCUCAGCCCUUCUUCAACUUUUUCCCUGUGUAGAGCCCCUAAUCACAGAAUGGCUUACAUUGGAAGGGACCUUAAAGAUCACUGAGUUCCAGCUGCCUGCUGUGGGCUGGUUGCUACCCACUAGUUCCCACUUGCAGUCUAAAGGAGGAAGAGAGCAAUGUGAGGGGAUCUAUAGGUUUUUGAGCUUGAUAAUCCUUGUUUUGGUGGGAAGGGAGAAAGAAAAGUGCCUCGAACUUGUGCUGGACAUGGGGAAAUUGUGCUGACCUGCACAGAGCAGCAUACAGGUGGGAUGCUGCCCCAGGUGUGGUGCAAGGGAUGGAUCACCCAGCUCCUUCUCAAUUCACCUCAUGGUCCAGCACCUGGACUCAUCCAAAAGCUCAAAGUUCAUAUAAUGAGAAAUAUUUUUGCUGUUUUUUCUUCAAAUCAUCUCUGUGCAUAACUACAAUGAAGCAGCUUUGUGUGCCUGCAGAAGAGUGAAAGUCCACAGCACUUGAACAAUGGAGUUGGACUCGAUAGCCCUCAUGGGUCCCUUCCAACUUGGGUUUUCUAUGAUUCUCUGCAAUGCUAAUAAGCUUUGUGAGAGAACAGGCUGAAAAUGGGGCUGCAGCACCAAAAAGAAUGAACAUUUCCCUAAACAGAAAGAGAGAAUGCCUGGAAAUAGCUGCUCGCUGCUCCCUGCUCCUGUGAAAUCAGCUUACAGCAAGAAAAGGCAUUUUAAAUGGCACCGGAGUUUUUGAGUACCGUAGAAUAUUUACAAAGGCAAAAACAAAGCACAAAAAGACCACGCAGUGUGCUAGAGGUAACAAAGCAAUCGUGCGAUGCAGCAGGUAACCGAGCUGGGUCUGCGGAGCCCAAGCAUCUGCUGUAACUCCUGGAUCAUCUUUCUUCUGUAUUGCAUUUGCUCAGCAUGGUGAUAAAAAUAUGUCUUCCUCCAGAGGCAGGUUGACCGCGUAAUGCUGAGCACAGAUGAUGAGGUUUUGUGUUUGUUUAUGAUGAUACACGCAAACAAAAUACCUGUCUUGCAAAAUAGUUUGGCUGCCAUCCAUGGCAAAAUAACCAUUAGGCAGAAAGCAAGCCUAAGGAGCUCCUUCCCUUCACUCACCAGAACAAAGUAAUUAAAAGCCACAUGGCAUCCGCCUGUCCACUUGGCAGCGGUGCUAUGGGCAGGGCUUUGGGCCCAGCAGAGCUGAUCAGCAAAAGGUGGCAACUUGGAAACGUCCCAUCAAACCUACAUGUCACCUCCCCGCCUCCUUCUACAGGCGGUUAUCCCAGGGGGGAAUCUUCACCAGAACGCAGUUUCAAAGAGAGGACGCAUGACAUAAAAGCAAUAUUUGCUGCCCCACUUCAGAGAGCUCCUGUUUGAGUUCAGGAGGGAUAAGAGGGAAAGUCAGGGCUGCUGCUGGGGAGCAGGCGAGGUGAGCGUGGCGGCAGCGGGGUGGGCUCAGGACGGGGGUGAGAGCAACCAGCAGCAGCACACUGAGCCGUGGGUGGGAAAGGAGAAUCAGGUCUGUAGGUGGGGAGAAGGAAGGCGAGGGGAGCGGGCGAACAAGAGGAAUGGGGCUCGUGGCUCGCCAGCUGGCACGCAGCGAGCAGCUGCUGCUGUGUCAGCCCGGCCGAGGGCUGCAGCUGCACGCUGGCCUUGAAUAGCGGAGCAGCAGCGUGCCGGCUGGCUGCUGAAGGGA